CCAUUGUUGUGUGGGUGCCUAAGCUCUCAAAUAAAAAAAUAAAACACAAGUCCUAGAUUUUUAACUUUACUCACAAAAGUUUCUUAACGAAAAACGUUGAGCAUUUUCCGUAGAUCGUUAAUCUAUCUUUGCAUGUUGGAUCAAGAUUCGACAAGUUGUCGAGCUAUCGGGUCGGAGGACCAAGGGAAUUAACGGAGUUGUUUAAAGGAGCAUUGACGGAGUAAUACCGUAGUUAAACGGUUUCUGAUCGUUACCUGUCUUUUUGGAUGAGACUUCACUUUGUUUGCUUCUCGAAGUCCCCUUGUUUGAAUUGUGGUAUUUUGUUCAGUAGCGCUACAAUAGUAGUUAUCCGCAGUAGAUUAGUAUAGUCUCAUUGUAUUCAAAGGUUUUAAAGCGCAUUUAAAACUCUGAUGUUUUGUCCCAUCAGUUAUUUAAUAAAUGUUUCAUACAUUUCUAUUUUCAAAGCGAAAAAUUUAUAGUGUUUUUCAGGCUUGCUACGGGUUUCGGAGCAACCACUCCCAUUCCCUAGCGCCGGUCUCGACUCGAGAUUUCGGGUCGU